rnacentral:rRNA from 1 species
GGCGAGUGAAGCGGGCAAAGCUCAACCUGAAAAUCGGAUAUCCAAGCGGGUGUUCGAAUUGUGGGCUAGAGACGCGUGAUCAGUGUGUGACCUAGGUAUAAAUCUUUUGAAACAAGGUAUCAUAGAGGGUGAGAAUCCCGUCUUUGACCUAGAGUUUUCGCCACGUACGAUCCGUGUUCAAAGAGUCGAGUUGUUUGGGAUUGCAGCUCUAAAUGGGUGGUAAAUUUCAUCUAAAGCUAAAUAUCGACGAGAGACCGAUAGCGAACAAGUACCGUGAGGGAAAGAUGAAAAGCACUUUGGAAAGAGAGUUAAACAGUACGUGAAAUUGUUAAAAGGGAAACGAUUGAAGUCAGUCGUGUUUAUUGGAUUCAGCCGGUCUUCGGUGUACUUCCUUUAAACGGGUCAACAUCAGUUUUGUUCGGUGGAUAAAGGUAUUAGGAAUGUGGCUUCUUCGGAAGUGUUAUAGCCUAGUAUUGCAUACACUGGAGGAGACUGAGGACUGCAGCUCGCCUUUAUGGCCGGGGUUCGCCCAC